rnacentral:rRNA from 1 species
CCUACGGGCGGCAGCAGUGGGGAAUAUUGCACAAUGGGCGCAAGCCUGAUGCAGCCAUGCCGCCUGUGUGAAGAAGGCCUUCGGGUUGUAAAGCACUUUCAGCGGGGAGGAAGGCGGUGAGGUUAAUAACCUCAUCGAUUGACGUUACCCGCAGAAGAAGCACCGGCUAACUCCGUGCCAGCAGCCGCGGUAAUACGGAGGGUGCAAGCGUUAAUCGGAAUUACUGGGCGUAAAGCGCACGCAGGCGGUCUGUCAGGUCGGAUGUGAAAUCCCCGGGCUCAACCUGGGAACUGCAUUCGAAACUGGCAGGCUAGAGUCUUGUAGAGGGGGGUAGAAUUCCAGGUGUAGCGGUGAAAUGCGUAGAGAUCUGGAGGAAUACCGGUGGCGAAGGCGGCCCCCUGGACAAAGACUGACGCUCAGGUGCGAAAGCGUGGGGAGCAAACAGGAUUAGAUACCCUAGUAGUC